rnacentral:rRNA from 1 species
CAGGGGGCGCGAGCGUUGCUCGGAAUCGCUGGGCGUAAAGCGUACGCAGGCGGACCGUUAAGUCGGAUGUGAAAUCCCAGGGCUCAACCCUGGAAGUGCAUUCGAUACUGGCGGUCUUGAGUACGGGAGAGGAGAGCGGAAUUCCUGGUGUAGAGGUGGAAUUCGUAGAUAUCAGGAGGAACACCGGUGGCGAAAGCGGCUCUCUGGCCCGAUACUGACGCUCAUGUACGAAAGCGUGGGGAGCAAACAGGAUUAGAUACCCUGGUAGUCCACGCUGUAAACGAUGAGUGCUAGCUGCUGGGAAUCCUUUUAUUUUCUCAGUGGCGUAGCUAACGCGUUAAGCACUCCGCCUGGGAAGUACGGUCGCAAGACUA